GACGAACGCUGGCGGCGUGCUUAACACAUGCAAGUCGAACGAAGAGCGAUGGAAGCUUGCUUCUAUCAAUCUUAGUGGCGAACGGGUGAGUAACGCGUAAUCAACCCGUCCUUCAGAGGGGGACCACAGUUGGAAACGACUGCUAAUACCACAUACGAUCUAAUCUCGGCAUAGAGGAUAGAUGAAAGGUGGCCUCUACAUGUAAGCUAUCACUGCAGGAGGGGAUUGCGUCUGAUUAGCUAGUUGGCGGGGUAACGGCCCACCAAGGCGAUGAUCAGUAGCCGGUCUGAGAGGAUGAACGGCCACAUUGGGACUGAGACACGGCCCAGACUCCUACGGGAGGCAGCAGUAGGGAAUCUUCCGCAAUGGACGAAAGUCUGACGGAGCAACGCCGCGUGAGUGAUGACGGCCUUCGGGUUGUAAAGCUCUGUUAUUCGGGACGAAAGGCCUUCUUGCUAAUAGUGAGAAGGAUUGACGGUACCGGAAUAGAAAGCCACGGCUAACUACGUG
rnacentral:rRNA from 1 species